rnacentral:rRNA from 1 species
UACGAGGGGGGCAAGCGUUGUUCGGAAUUAUUGGGCGUAAAGGGAGCGUAGGCGGUUCGGUAAGUCACUUGUGAAAUCUCUGGGCUCAACCCAGAGUCUGCAAGCGAAACUGCCGGGCUGGAGUAUGGGAGAGGUGAGUGGAAUUCCAGGUGGAGCGGUGAAAUGCGUAGAGAUCUGGAAGAACACCAAUGGCGAAGGCAGCGUCCUGGGAAGUAGCUGACGCUCAGGUGCGAAAGCCAGGGGAGCGAACGGG